UACGUAGGCAGCAAGCGUUGUUCGGAAUUACUGGGCGUAAAGAGUGUGUAGGCGGUGUUCCAAGUCUGGUGUGAAAUCUCCCGGCUUAACUGGGAGGGUGCAUUAGAAACUGGAAUGCUAGAGGAUGGGAGAGGUAAGCGGAAUUCCUGGUGUAGCGGUGAAAUGCGUAGAUAUCAGGAGGAACACCUGUGGUGUAGAAAGCUUACUGGACCAUUUCUGACGCUGAGACACGAAAGCGUGGGUAGCAAACAGG
rnacentral:rRNA from 1 species